rnacentral:rRNA from 1 species
UACAGAGGUCUCAAGCGUUGUCCGGAAUUAUUGGGCGUAAAGAGCUCGUAGGCGGUUUGUCGCGUCUGCUGUGAAAACCCGAGGCUCAACCUCGGGCCUGCAGUGGGUACGGGCAGACUAGAGUGCGGUAGGGGAGAUUGGAAUUCCUGGUGUAGCGGUGGAAUGCGCAGAUAUCAGGAGGAACACCAAUGGCGAAGGCAGAUCUCUGGGCCGUAACUGACGCUGAGGAGCGAAAGCAUGGGGAGCGAACAGG